AACCACCACACUCGUAAUAAAAGGCGUCGAAUUCCGGUACGAAAUCACCUCUUUGUUCACAAGAUAACAAAAUGAAUAAGUCAGCGCUUCUCCUCUUGCUUGUCAUCGGACUCCUCGUCCUCACCGAAAAUACGAAUGCUCAUUCUCACGCAGUUAUUCGUCGUCGUAGUGGGAGCUCGAAGUGGAAUUGGAACCAAAGGCAAAAUGCUGAAGAAGCCAUUUCAGCUGAAGAAGUCGAGGAUGAUAGAAGGUGAAACGAUAACUAGACGACUUAAAAUGCAAAACACUUGCUGUCGAUAUCAAUAAACCAACAUGCAUAUAUACGU